rnacentral:lncRNA from 1 species
GUUGAUUGUGUUUCUAUUUGAUGUAGUUUAUCUACUGUUUAUCUAUCUUUUGCAUUGUUGAAAUUGUGUUUGAGGAUUGUUAAUGGUUUAUCUAUAUUUGAGGAUUGAGGAUUGUAAAUGUAUUGAUUUAUUUUGUUUUAAUCAAUGAGGAUUGUUCUAUCUAUAUUUUGUUUGAAUCUUUUCAUUUAUGUUUUAAUCUCAAUUAUUCAAUGUCUUAUUUGUUAUUCAUUUUAUAUUCAAUUUUGUAUCACUUAUUCAAUAUCGCAUGUUUUGAUUUCAAGGUGGUUUUGUUAUAGUUUAUGAUGAAGAUGCAUGUGUCUACUAUUUUAGUUUUGAUUUCAAUGUAUGAAUAAGAAUUUAUCAUGUUGUGUUUAUGAUAUUUAAGAAUUUCAAUGCAUGAUUUAAUAAGAAUUAUGAAAUGUGAAGAUUUUGUUUUAAUUUUAAUGAUUUAUUUAAUUUAAAUAAUAAGUGUUUCUAAUUUAAGUAAAUAAUUACUGAUUUUAGAUAAUGUAGAAAAUAAUGAAAUUAAAUAUUUUAUUUACUGUUUUUAAUUAAAUUUUUAAUAAAUA